rnacentral:lncRNA from 1 species
GCUCCAUGUAAGAUUUCUUCCUUUCUGCCCAUUCCCCCCUCCCCGACCCCCAACCCACAGCAAAUCCACUUAGCAAGUGACUUUCAAUAUCAGUCGAAUUGCUGGGAGGGAAUUUUUCCUUUAAUGGAAAAAAAAAUCCUCUUCACACAGGUGCAAUGGCCUGCCUCAAUGAAGAAAGGCUACCUGGAUGCCCACAACAGAACCCAGUUUUGUACAAUAACCCCCUGCUGCAAUGUGAGGCUCCAGCUAACUGCAAAACCCGAAACCUAGCUGGGAAAUUGCCUACCUGCACAAAGAACAGAGACCCUAUCGUUUCAGGAUUCAGUUCUUUCCGAGCACUUUUAUAAAGGAGUUUUUGUCUGCCUUGUGAGGCUCCGACCACAGAGGAGCUGGAAAUCCAGAUCCUAUCAGCUUUCCUUGAAGGAGGUGUUACAGGGUGUUCAUUUUCCUGCUGUUUGCUUUCAGCACCCUCAGGCUCAAGAUCACCCUGGUCCAUGUGAGAGGCAAGACAAGAGAAGAUCAGCGGCAAAACAGGUGGAGCAGUUUGGCUGGGCCCACCUGGCUCUGUUCCGUCACAGUGGAUAUAGCAGUUUUGAAGUGAGACUAUUUACUCAGUGCAGAGAGGCAUGCCCCACCAGAGGGAACAUCACCAGGCCUCCCUGCACAGUUAGUUCUUCCUGAACGUCUUUAGCAAGAUUACACCUGGCACACAGACGCUAUCUACUUGCUGCAUUCUUUACAAACCCACUGGUGGGCAGAGCAGUAAGAUGACUGGCCACCAUCCAGAUGGUUAACAAUAAAAGCAAUUAUUAUGCAGCCAUUAAUCUUGUCAAUUACAUUUUAACCCAGGCAGUGUGUAAACGGAAGCUCUAUCUGCUUCUAUAUUUUUCCUUUUCUUUCUCUGCCUCCUUUUCCCCCAGAAAAUAAAAAGUGAUUGCAUGCUAUCAUUUUCUCAACAUCAUCAC